rnacentral:misc_RNA from 1 species
GAAUAGCUGCUUGCUUCUAUCAAUUGCAGUUAUCUAGGUUUUAUGUGCUGGAAUGCUGCGACAGCUAGUGGGGUGCUUGCACCAAAUUUUCUUCAAAUCUACUAAAGUGUUGAUCCGUCUCAUAUUUUAUUAUAUUUUUUCACUUUCUGCGUUUGUGUCAUCAAACUUUUUCUUAUGACUGUUCACUAUUUCCUAACUCUCGUGAAAUGCUUCAGAAUAGAUGAUCAUAGGUUUCUGAUUUGAUAGAGAUAUUUUAGGUGGGUUGCAUUUCUCAUUAUGGCAUGUUUUGAUGUCAUGUAUACUUGAAAGGAAACUGAUGGUUUUUGGGUUAGACAGAAGGGAAAUCAGUGCAAGAAAU